UCCAGAACGUUCCUGUCCUACAUCUCUACUCCACCGGAGGCGCAGGGGUGUCAGUGGGAAUUUUGGACCAGAUUUCAUAUAGUACUGGCCACGUGCACUGCGGCUAUAUAUAUAUAUAUAUAUAACAGCCAUACGACCGGCACUCAGCUUGCAGGAUCAACCGCCCCGGUGCCUUCCGUGGAUCUCCUGUUCGGCUCAGUAAAAAACACUGAGGUACUCUGGGAUGUGGAGGGGAAGAGAGUUCUAAAUUUAAAUAUUCAGUGCCCUGUUCUUGCUAAAGCCGUCCAUAUCACAAGAAUACUCCAGUGCCCCCUAUGGAUUCAAAGAAAAGGAUUUACCUGUCUGUGCAUAGCCCAGGACCUACUCCCACAGUGCGAUAGCAACAGGCUCUUUGGGGAGGAGCUGACGUCACACACCCACCCAGAAAACAGCCAGUUACCACCCACACACGUCCGCUUACUGUCAAUCAACUUGAGUACGCCUAGUGAUAAAAAAACAAAAAUGCUAGAUUAUUUUGCUGUUUGGCCUCGCGCGUGUGCACUAUGAUCUGUAUGCAUGCGCAGUCGAUCAGCGAUCAGGUCUGAAUCGAGCCCUAAAUCCAGCAACGUGUAGACUAAAAUUGUAAUUGACUUGUGAUGAGUUUAAGAUUGCUGCUAAAAUUAUAUUACAUUUCCCCAAAAUUAUUUUUUGUGUUUAAAAUUUCAUUCCAUAAUACCUUUAUAUAAUUCUAUUGAAAUUUUUUUUUCUCAAUGCAUUUCUAUUGCCACUGCAUUUGCUACCUAUUUUGGAGUGGGGGCGUUACCAUAUUGGUUGUGGUUCAAGAGUGAAACUAUUGUGUA